AAAGCAGGCCUAUCUUAUCGACUUGUAUUUAGUGCAAGUAGGAAAGUCUGGACACCAUAGAGUAGCAUAGCGGAUAACAUCCGUCCGAUGUAAAUCGAGGACAAGUGCAACAGAAAGUAUGUACAGGUAAUGCUGUAGUGAAACCAGGUAAACUCUAUGCGGUGCAAUGCCAUGUAUAUUAGAACUUGAGUGUAACUCGCACGAUUCUAAAGGGUAGGCAGAUUGAUUUUACGAGUAAUUGUAAAACUAGAUAAAUGAUAAGAGCCUCAUUUUUUUGAGGAACAGAAUCCAGCUUACUGGUCUGCUUUUUUU
rnacentral:RNase_P_RNA from 1 species